rnacentral:rRNA from 1 species
AUCCUGGCUCAGAUUGAACGCUGGCGGCAUGCCUUACACAUGCAAGUCGAACGGCAGCACGGACUUCGGUCUGGUGGCGAGUGGCGAACGGGUGAGUAAUGUAUCGGAACGUACCUUUCAGUGGGGAUAACGUAGCGAAAGUUACGCUAAUACCGCAUAUUCUGUGAGCAGGAAAGCAGGGGAUCGCAAGACCUUGCGCUGAUUGAGCGGCCGAUAUCAGAUUAGCUAGUUGGUGAGGUAAAGGCUCACCAAGGCGACGAUCUGUAGCGGGGUCUGAGAGGAUGAUCCGCCACACUGGAACUGAGACACGGUCCAGACUCCUACGGGAGGCAGCAGUGGGGAAUUUUGGACAAUGGGGGCAACCCUGAUCCAGCCAUGCCGCGUGAGUGAAGAAGGCCUUCGGGUUGUAAAGCUCUUUCGGCCGGGAAGAAAUCGCAUGGGCUAAUACCCUGUGCGGAUGACGGUACCGGCAUAAGAAGCACCGGCUAACUACGUG